GUCCAGGGUAGCCUAGUGGACAUAGUAUCUGCCCGGUGAGCGGAACACUGUGGGUUCGAUUCCCAUCCCCCUCGACA
rnacentral:tRNA from 1 species